rnacentral:rRNA from 1 species
GACGAACGCUGGCGGCGUGCUUAACACAUGCAAGUCGAACGGAAAGGCCCCCUUGUGGGGUACUCGAGUGGCGAACGGGUGAGUAACACGUGAGUAACCUACCCUUGACUUUGGGAUAACUUCAGGAAACUGGGGCUAAUACCGGAUAGGAGCUCCUGCUGCAUGGUGGGGGUUGGAAAGUUUCGGCGGUUGGGGAUGGACUCGCGGCUUAUCAGCUUGUUGGUGGGGUAGUGGCUCACCAAGGCUUUGACGGGUAGCCGGCCUGAGAGGGUGACCGGCCACAUUGGGACUGAGAUACGGCCCAGACUCCUACGGGAGGCAGCAGUGGGGAAUAUUGCACAAUGGGCGGAAGCCUGAUGCAGCAACGCCGCGUGCGGGAUGACGGCCUUCGGGUUGUAAACCGCUUUCGCCUGUGACGAAGCGUGAGUGACGGUAAUGGGUAAAGAAGCACCGGCUAACUACGUGC